UUGACAUCCAGAGAACUUAGCAGAGAUGCUUUGGUGCCUUCGGGAACUCUGAGACAGGUGCUGCAUGGCUGUCGUCAGCUCGUGUUGUGAAAUGUUGGGUUAAGUCCGCAACGAGCGCAACCCUUAUCCUUUGUUGCCAGCGGUCCGGCCGGGAACUCAAAGGAGACUGCCAGUGAUAAACUGGAGGAAGGUGGGGAUGACGUCAAGUCAUCAUGGCCCUUACGAGUAGGGCUAUACACGUGCUACAACGGCGCAUACAAAGAGAAGCGACCUCGCGAGAGCAAGCGGACCUCAUAAAGUGCGUCGUAGUCCGGAUUGGAGUCUGCAACUCGACUCCAUGAAGUCGGAAUCGCUAGUAAUCGUAGAUCAGAAUGCUACGGUGAAUACGUUCCCGGGCCUUGUACACACCGCCCGUCACACCAUGGGAGUGGGUUGUAAAAGAAGUAGGUAGCUUAACCUUCGGGAGGGCGCUUACCACUUUGUGAUUCAUGACUGGGGUGAAGUCGUAACAAGGUAGGCGUAGACGU
rnacentral:rRNA from 1 species